rnacentral:tRNA from 1 species
GUUCUUAUAGUGUAGCUGAGCACAUUAGAUUUUCAAUCUUUUAGGGCAUUAAUUAUUAAAAUAGUGUUAAGAAUA